GAUGAAGAACGUAGUGAAAUGCGAUACGUAGUGUGAAUUGCAGAAUUCAGUGAAUCAUCGAAUCUUUGAACGCACAUUGCACCUCUCGGUAUUCCGGGAGGUAUGCCUGUUCGAGCGUCAUUUGUACCCUCAAGCUCUGCUUGGUGUUGGGUGUUUGUUCCGCCUCUGUGUGUGAACUCGCCUCAAAACAAUUGGCAGCCGGCGUACUUGUUUCGGAGCGCAGCACAUUUUGCGAUCCAGAUCAACGUACAGCGGCAUCCAAGAAGCCUUAUUUAACGCUCUUGACCUCGGAUCAGGUAGGGAUACCCGCCGAACUUAAGCAUAUCAAUAAGCGGAGGA
rnacentral:misc_RNA from 1 species